GAUGGCAAUAGGUGUGUGCCUAUGUUUUUAUUGUUUUGAUCUGGUCAAGUUCACACGGGUUCUUAUUUUCAUAAGGCCAAAUGGUGUUCAUCAAUGCUUUCGAUAUCUUUCCUCUUUUUGCUAUGUAUGUUUUCAUGAUAUUUCUCUUGUCCUUUACAUAAAAUAUCUUUUCAUUGCCCCUCGGAUGACUCCCAAAUGUUGUUUUUCAUCUGUCAAAAAAGGUGCUUUGCCUGAUAAUAAUUUUUUUGUUAUGUUUGUUCAACAGUACACAGCAACAUUGAUUGUGCUAGGCGUGAUGGAAACGUGAUGCUCGCAGACACUUGUCAAGAUGCGGAAGGAUGGGGACACAAUGGUGGGGAACUUGGGUAUAUGAAUGAUAGACAUGAUCAGAAUAUGCAUACCACAUUAGGUUGACAUGGAGUGGAGAGGAGCCAAGGUAGGGGUGGUGAAGGGAGGCAUUGGAAGAACAAAGAAGAAGAAUUAGGAAACCAUGCAAUGUCCUGUUGUUUGAGGUUGCCCCCAUUUGCAACUGGAUGUUCUGUGUGUGAUGCAAGUUGCAUGUUGUGUUCAGCUCAACGAGUUCCAGUGGCUUUGUGACAACAAGCACAGGCGAACGAACCUGCCGUUGAGGUGGGUCGCACAGCAGAGCAAAUGGCAGAGGUGCCCCAAGCACAAGAUCUACGUAGACAGAAAGGAUGGCUGCACCUUCAUUGCUUGAAGAUAACUACUGCUUUGUUGGCUUUUCCUAAAAUGGCGUACGUUGGAGUCUAAAUCGAUUGAGUGCCACGGAUGAACGCAGCAGUAUCCGUAUAAUGAAAGUGAAGUUUCUGGACAAAUCCAACUACAAAUUCUGGGAACGAGUUAAAUAUUCGACCAAUAUAACAUCCAUGCUGAACUAGCUACCUAUCCUGCACAUGGAACACAUCGUCAAGUCAAGCGAGUAAAGAAACUAUUUCAAGACAUGUCAGUUCACCAAUCUCCUGUAUUGAGUUGUAGGUUAUCAUAAGAAGAAGCAAUUAGACAUUGAAUCUUCGCUUCACCAAUCCCAGGUACCUCUGAUUUCUUAAAUGAUUAUCUGUCAACAAAAUUGUUCGAUGUUAAGGCAGUGGUUGCUGAGAUGAGGAAAAAUUCCCGAUAUGGUAGAGGACUGACGAUUUCCUGACAAUGGGGGCCUAAUUUAGUAUUUGCAUGAAGCAUCAUUGGAUUAUCCAUGGAGAGACAAUUUAUAAUUAUCAGAAAGGCACCACCGAUGUCCAAGUCGUCUUUGGUGUAUGCGUCGUCUUUGUCCGCUUCCUUCACAUGCUCUUCGUUGCCACCGAUCGACCUUGCGUAGCACCCAACACGCCGUGAGUGAGGAGUUUUCGGCCAAGCACUAUAAGAAGGAUGAUUUUUGCUACCUCAAGAGGAUUAUCCUUAAGUUGUUUUGAGGAGAAAGGGGAUGACCAAGAUGAUUUUCUGCAACCAUAUUUACAUCUUUAGAGCAUACUUUGGUCAGGACGUUGGCGGUAGCUACCAUGUUGCUUCAACACGAUGGAGUAGUGCAUGUAGUUCUUGACGAUUGUUAGUUGGUUUUUUAAGGAAAAAACUGUAUUAGAUUGUUUGGUCAUUCAUAGAUUUUAAUGUCUUGACACUAUAAUACUAGCUUGUUCAGUAAUUUCCCCACAUUUUAUGAAAGAUUUUUAAAUAGAACAACGAUGUGAACGGGAAUCCUC